GACAGAGGGUGCAAGCGUUGUUCGGAAUCAUUGGGCGUAAAGCGCACGUAGGCGGUCUUGUAAGUCAGAUGUGAAAGCCCUGGGCUUAACCCAGGAAGUGCAUCUGAUACUGCAAGACUUGAGUCCCGGAGAGGGUGGUGGAAUUCCUGGUGUAGAGGUGGAAUUCGUAGAUAUUAGGAAGAACACCAGUGGCGAAGGCGGCUCACUGGUCCGGUACUGACGCUGAGGUGCGAAAGCGUGGGGAGCAAACAGG
rnacentral:rRNA from 1 species